rnacentral:rRNA from 1 species
UCCAUGAGGCAGCAGGCGCGUAAAUUACCCAAUGUGGACUCCACGAGGUAGUGACGAGAAAUAUCAAUGCGGGGCGCUUCGCGUCUUGCUAUUGGAAUGAGAGCAAUGUAAAACCCUCAUCGAGGAUCAACUGGAGGGCAAGUCUGGUGCCAGCAGCCGCGGUAAUUCCAGCUCCAGAAGCGUAUGCUAAAGUUGUUGCAGUUAAAAAGCUCGUAGUUGAAUUUCUGGUGUGGGAGCCCAGGCCUCGGUGCGAAUGCGCCUUGUAUUGCCUUGCGGCUCCUUUGCCAUCCUCGUUUUUCUUUUGAAGAACGUCAUUCACUGUAAUCAAAGCAGAGUGUUCCAAGCAGGCCGUAGGGCCGGUAUGUUUAUUAUGGGAUGAUCAGAUAGGACUCGGGUGCUAUUUUGUUGGUUUGCACAUCUGAGUAAUGAUUAAUAGGAACAGUCGGGGGUAUCCGUAUUUAGGAGCUAGAGGUGAAAUUCUUGGAUUUCCGAAAGACGAACUACAGCGAAGGCAUUUACCAAGCAUGUUUUCAUUAAUCAAGAACGAAAGUCUGGGGAUCGAAGAUGAUAGANANUAUNANA